rnacentral:piRNA from 1 species
UAGUCCUCUCAUAGGCUUAUGCUGUUC